rnacentral:sRNA from 2 species
CGCCAAAUCCUGCCGCCUCCCGGAAACCGCAUCCGACCUAUUCGUGCGGCAGGAGCGGGGGAACCAGGUAAGCCGCCGGCCCGGAGAUCCUUUCACCGGGACGGCUCGGGGUGAAGCCGUUCAUGUCCCGUACAUGUACGGCCGGACAUCUCCAGUCCGAACCCGACAGCUCACCUCGCAGGCGCCGGAGAGGAAUU